CCUGUUAUGCCCUAGUACGGCGAGUGAGCGGCACAGCUCAAAUUUGAAAUCUGGCUCUUUUAGAGUCCGAGUUGUAAUUUGCAGAGGGCGCUUUGGCUUUGGCAGCGGUCCAAGUUCCUUGGAACAGGACGUCACAGAGGGUGAGAAUCCCGUACGUGGUCGCUGGCUAUUGCCGUGUAAAGCCCCUUCGACGAGUCGAGUUGUUUGGGAAUGCAGCUCUAAAUGGGAGGUACAUUUCUUCUAAAGCUAAAUAUUGGCCAGAGACCGAUAGCGCACAAGUAGAGUGAUCGAAAGAUGAAAAGCACUUUGGAAAGAGAGUCAAACAGCACGUGAAAUUGUUGAAAGGGAAGCGCUUGCAGCCAGACUUGCUUACAGUUGCUCAUCCGGGUUUUUACCCGGUGCACUCUUCUGUAGGCAGGCCAGCAUCAGUUUGGGCGGUAGGAUAAAGGUCUCUGUCACGUACCUCCUUUCGGGGAGGCCUUAUAGGGGAGACGACAUACUACCAGCCUGGACUGAGGUCCGCGCAUCUGCUAGGAUGCUGGCGUAAUGGCUGUAAGCGGCCCGUCUUGAAACACGGACCA
rnacentral:rRNA from 1 species